AGCUUUGCGCAGUGGCAGUAUCGUAGCCAGUGAGAUUUAUCCGAGGCGCAAUUAUUGCUAAUUAAACUUUUACAU
rnacentral:snRNA from 1 species